CAUUGCCCCCUCUACCAAGCAUGCCUUCGAUUCCCACAAUCCCAACUACAAUUCCCUCUAUUCCAUUCUUCUCUCCACCACCUUCUCCUAGUCCUUAAAAAUCCCUUUCGCUAGGUGAUGGGUGGCUAUUCCAAUCCAGAGUCUUAUUUUUUUGUCCACCACUUAUAUUGCAUUGUAUAAAUGGGAGUUUCCCCAAUUCCCAUGAUUUUCUGUACUUUGAUACUUAUUUUGCUUAUUAUUGGAUUAUAUACUUAUUAUAUAUAUAAUGUUUUCAUUAACUAAUUAAUUACUGAAUCCAUUGUUAACACACGAAUUUACCAAAUUAAGAUAAGAAUGAAACAAUAAAUAUAGACAAAAUAAAUUAAUUAUGAUGCAACGCUAAAUUAAAUUUAAAUUAUUCUUUGAGAAAGUAAACAUUUAACUAGUAAGUCACAAUUUGAAGUUAAACUAACUCAAAUUAUCACGAGGUUAAACUAACCUAAAUUAUUCUUAAAGAAGAUAAACAUCGAGCCAAUAAACUACAAUUUGAGGUUAAACUAAUUUACAUUUUUCAAUGUUAAAGAUGAUGAGUUUUUUUAUUAGAUUUGAACCUUGAUGCUUACUGGAGCUCAGUCACUAGGCAAUAGCUUAUUGACAAUUUUUGUAAGAGUGGGUCCGUCGAGAUUAACUGUGAAGUUGAUUUCACUAAGACUAAAAAUAAUAGUGGUAAUUAGAUUAGUUAUUAUAGUAGUGAAAUUAAAAUCAACCCUAUAGUAUAUAUUUAGAUUCAAGCGCAAUACUAAUAAUGAGAUCAAAAUAAAAAAUUACUAUUAAGGAUGUUAAAUUGAAAUAAAUAUAUAUGUAUAUAAAAUAAAUAAAUAAAAAAUUAAUUAAAUUAUAUUUGAGUUAAACUAUAAUUAAACAUUAAAUUUAUAAAAAUACUUAUAUUAUAUUUAAAUUAAAUAAUAUAAGAAAAUAUAUUAUAUUAAAUCAUAAUGAAGAUCAUUACAUUAUAAAUAAAUUCCCAUAUACCAAUGCGUACUUUUAUUGAAGAUCUAAUUCCGUAAGUAUAAAUAGGUUUAUAUCAAUGUUUUCUUAAAUCAGAUCAAUGAUCGAACCGAUUAGACCACCAUUUCGGUCAAUCCGACAUGCUCAACCGAUCCGAUUAAAAAAUGAUUAAAAAUUAAAAAUAAUUUUUUAAACUCCGGUUCAACUAGUUUUUUACCCAAUUCAAUCGGUUCGUACCGGUUCCCGAUCUAACCAAUUCAAAAGUAGUCUCUGGAUCGAUCUCCCGAUCAAUUGCCAGUCCAAUCAACCAGUCCAGUUCAAACAACACUGGUAUAUACCAACAUUUUACUUAUCUGUUAAUAUAUGAUGAGCCUAUAUCAAUACAUUUUGUUAGUGUUGGUAUAAAAAUAUCUAUAAUGAGAAUCAAAUUUAAUAAUUGAUUAAAAUUUUUGGAAGAAACAAGUUAACAAUUUAAUUUACUUUUGAGAUAUGUGUAACACCCCAAACCUGGACUAGAAGUUAUGAUCGAAUUUGAUGAUAUCACAUGGUAGGGUGUUUGAAAACCAUGUCAUCGCGAUAAAAUUGUUUCCAUUUAAUUACUUUUCCUUAUCUCUUAUUAGUUACAAAAUUUGUUUUACUCAUUUAAUCAAUUGUUUAAAACGUGACUCAUUGCGAAAGCUUUAAACAAUCAUUUAUUUUAUGAAAAACUGAGUUAAUUAAGUAAAACCGUCCAUUUUACAAAAAACCCUUGGUUUUAGAGAAAACCGUUUGUUCGUUGCGUUUGUGCAGUUAUAAAAUCCAUGAAAAUCACAAUAAAGUAAAAGUCCAAAGAAAAUCCCAAAUUACAUCAAGAAAAAUUUACCCAACAAUAAUAGUAAAAGUAAUAUAACUAGAAAUCAAAACAGAAAGUUUUAUUAACCGUGGUCACCGCUGAGUCCUCUGCCCCACCGUUCCGUCUAAACUUGAGGAUUACCUGAUCACAUUAAACAGAAGGAGUGAGUUUACGUAAACUCAGUGUGUAAUUCCCAUAGAAAACAUACAUACAGUCAAUCAAUAGUAAACAGUCAAAGGCAGUUUAGGGCCUAAGCCCAUUACACUCUCAGUAGUAGUUUAGGCAUUAGCCUAUUUCAGUUUUGUAUCUGAUAUGCAUUAGUGCUUAAGCAAAUCACAGUAACAGUAAUGCAAACAGUAAUCAGUAACAGAGUCCUACCCACCAGCCUCUACACACCAUCUUCAUUCAUCCCUACACUCUAAGUAGUACCGAAUGCGGCACAUAUUCAAUAUAUUGCAACUAAGCUGCCGGAUAAAUUGGCUUAAAGCCUUUCAGUACACUUCCUCUAAAUAUCAUUAUCCCAACCUAAUGCAAUGCAAACAUACAAUAUGUCAUGCUUUUAUGCAACCAUCAGUCAUAUGUAUACAUAUAUAUAUAUCAAUAAUCAUGCAUAAUUUAUCAUGUAUCACAUACACUCAGAUCAUAUAUUUAGGGGUCUAGGUAACGCUUACCAACCCUACAGUAGUGUCACAGUCGACUUGGGCGACCCGUGCAACAGAUAAAUGGGCUCACAUGCCCAUGUAGCUUACCCAUGUGGACCCACACGUUUGGCCCAAAAUCUCACACGCCCAUGUGGACUGCCCGUGUGGGCCCGCAUGCUCGUGUGGCCCACACUGCCCAUAUUAGUCUAGCCCGUAUCUCCCACACGGCCUACCUGUCCAUCACACGGCCAUGUCUUGUGCGCAGGCCUAUCCUCGUCGAUCACACGCCUGUGUUAUGGCACACGACCUACCAUAUUGGCGACUACAUGCUAGUGUGGCGUCGACAGUAGAGUUUUCAACUAUCGUCAAAACCUCAUUUUUUGUGUCUUUGGGUACACACCUGGUACGAUUUCGAUACUACCGCAACUACGAACAUUUCAGAACCUAAAAAUUGACAUACCAAUCGUUCAGAAACAUGCUUAAAACACGACUAAAUUGAAACCACAAAUAAAAAAAGAUCCAAUUCACUAUUUAUUACUUACCUCGAACUCCGAACAGUUUCGGCUAUACUUCAGCAGAAGAAAAGCCCUUUUCUUGCCGAUUGGUUGCUGCCAAAACCCCACAAUUAGACUAACGAAAAUAAACCUUAACACUAGAAUGGCGCUAAAUGAAACCUACUCUCCACUCGAUAAAUAACACUUACCACAAGAUGAAAUCCAAGUCAAAAGUAUCAAUAUUAACGGGAAAACAAAAAAAAAACGAAGAAGAGGGAAAAAAUGAACAUCAGAUUUUGUGAGGAAAAAAGGGAGAGAACCGAAAUUUUGGGAAAAAGAGAAAAAGAAGAUGUCAUACACAUCCCUUAAUUCUCUCCCUCAAACCCACUACUCAACAACUUCCAUAGAAUUUUUGUUUGACUAAAACUCUUUCACGUAUCUAAGCAAAAAUAAACUCCCUUGUAGGGAUUCGAACUCAAGACCCCCAACAUACCAAUACUCCACCUAACCACCAGACCAGCAGGCCCAUUCUGAUAUGAGAGAAAACUUAUCGCUAUCGAACAGAACCCCAAACACUUAAAUCGUUCUAGGAACCCCAGCCAAAUCUUGCCCUUCACCUAAAUCGAGAGUAACAAAGCAAACUCUUCAUCAAUCACUAAGUCGAAUAACAUUAAGACUUAACAAAAAUAAAAACUUACCAAAUGAACACAGCCCAACGUUACACAAAAAGAAUGAUACAAAUUCAGAAAAGAAAUUGAAAAGAAAAUAAGUGGAGAAUGGGGAGACAAAAUUUCAGCAGUGAGAAAAGAAAGAAGUUAUUUUUUUCCUAGAAAUAAUUUUGAAAAAAAAGAAUAAACUGAAUUAUCCCUAAAUCCCCUAAUUCACUCCACUACCCCACUACUGAUAACUUUCUCAAAAUUCUUGUUUGACCGAAACUCUCUUGGUCAAAUUAGCAAAAAUACAUUCCCAUGCUCACGCAGGGAUUCGAACACAGAACCUCCACACAAUGCAUAGACUCCUUUACCACUCGAACCAGUAGGCUCAUUCUGAUAUGGUUUUACAAAUAAUUUAAUAUAAACUCACUGAACAUAGAUAUGGCUUUACUCCAAAGAUAACAAAAUUUGCUAAACGUAGGGCUUGAACCCAAGACCUCUAAGACACUCCCAGAACACUUAACCACUGAAGCAGAUAUACAUUUGUGUCAAAGAUUUAUAGAAGAAGACAUAAGAAAUUUAGGGCGUUACACUAAGCAUUAGAAUGAAAUAAUCGAUACUGAGGAGGAUCCACUCUACAACUCUACUCGAUCAUUCUCAUGUGGAUCAUGCUCAACAUUCCUUAUAGGGACAUCUGGCCAACGAGUGUAAGUGUAGAAGAUUGCUCUGGUGUGUUGAGAAAAUUGAAGUGUCGAGUAAGUCGAGUCACGUAAGGGUCUAAAUAGAUGGGACCCUUUCUGUGGUGGUCAAUCUGAUGGUGGAAGGCUAAGGUGAUAAAGUAUGCCAAAUCAAAGAUAUACCCAGUGGCCAUGCUCCAUAGAAAAUAGGCGUCAGUAGUAUUGGCGACUCCGGUGCUCUCUCUCCUACUUGUCAAAGUGUGAGCUAACAGGGCAUGAAGAUACCAUAAAGACGGAGAGAGAAAAGUCACCUUCGAGUGACUCACGUUAUAAAGUGUUCUACUCAUCGUAAGCUUUGCCCAACAAAGAGAUGGCGAGUAAUGGAUGUGCCAAUGUAGGCGGAGAAAGUUUUCGGCACUCAUAAAUUCCUCAAUGUAGAGUCUCAUAGUCGCGACGAACUUGGGGACACUCAUAUGGGGCACCAAACCACUAAGUUUUAAAGUAAUGGUGCCUGGUUCAUCAUGAGUCGUCAUGACCUACUAUAGAAUAAAUGUAGAACAAAACUCCAAAGUAAGCUCUAUGUAUGUUGGCUCGAUGAUGGAGAAAAAUUGGUCCCAUGGGGUUGCAGUAAUAAAGGCACGCACGUGAACAACUAGGUAGACCUCCUCCAAAGCGGCCCAAUCAAGAUAUCGGCCUAGGCCGGGUGGUCAUAAUACUAAAAUAAUUUUACCUCGGGACCCACAGAAAAUCAGAGAUAAUGGUGGCGAGCCUCAACGGAAGCGCUCGAGGAGGAGUUCACACCAGGCGUCUUUCACUUUUUCAAAGCGGGGAUGGCAACUUUGGACUUGCUAUGAGUGUUCGUCGUGGUGGACCUAAAGAAGAAAAUAAUCUAAGAUCAGAAAAGCAACAAAAUAAUAAAACAACAAGGAAAGAAAUAAAUGGCUGAUAAAGUAGGAUGGAAUAUUGGACGAGCAAACCUUCUGACAAAAUUAAAGCUUCCUAAAUGGGAAAUGUAUCCUAAAAUAAUAAAGAACUAAUACCAAAACAGACAAAAUCCAUUAACUUGACUAUGAUGCUUAAAAACUAAUAUGCAAAUAAUAAAUAAAUAAAUAAGAAAGAAAACCUUAAUAGAAUCGACGACUAAUCAAAUCUACAAAAAUACCAAAAGGACUGAUGAAUGAGAGAAACCAACAUAGCAAGAUACUUAAUCAACAAAAAUCUAAACAGUGUUUAACAAUGGUAAAAGGAUAUUGAUAAACAAAAGCAGAAACAUAUUAAUAAAAAGAAUAAUAAUAAUAACAAUAAUAAAAAAUAAAAAAACAAGAAUACUUAAUAAUAAUAAUAAAUAAAUAAAAUAAAUUAAAAUAAAAUAAAGAAAAUAAAGAAAAUUGGGAAAAAGGGAAAACUGACUAUAAUGGAGGUGGUGUGCACGACGACUGGUGCCAGCGGCGGUGAUUGGUGAAGGUCGAGGGGCUUGGUGGGGGUCAAGGGCACGACGGGCUACAGGCAUUUGGUGAGGCAACGAGGUGGGUUGUGGCGUGGUUGGUUUUGAUAGUGGUUGUUGUGCGAUGGGGUGAGGGGAAGAGUAAGGGUGGUGGUUAGGAAAGAAGGGAGGUCGGGGGUGACGGAGUGAGUAAGAGAGAGGUGAUAGAAGAGAGGGGUGUGUUGUUAGGGAUGGGCGUUGGAAGGGAGAGGAAGGGGGGAGGAGAGGGAAAAGGGCGAUGAUGGUUUUCGAAUUUGCAAAGGGGAGAUGAACGGCGGCUGGUAGGGUGAUGGGGGAUGAAGAAGACAAAGUAAAAACUAAAAAGAGGAUUAGGGUUUUUUAAAAGGGUGACGCGGUCGUAUGAGGCCCGUGUUGGGCCACACGGCCGUGUCACAUGUCCGUGUGGCUCUUCCCAGCCCGUGUCGAUAAAAAUUUUUAACCCAGUCUUCACGCGGCCUUAGACACGCCCGUUUAUCCAGGCCACACGGCUAUGCCGCAUGGCCGUGUACAACCUCCUUCGCUUCUCCCACGCCUAUGUGGCUCAACCAUGUCUUGCACACGGCCAUGUGUCAUGCUCGUGUAACUCUCUAACUUGAUUUAAAAAUGAAAAAAAAUUAGCUCCAGGUUUCACACGGCUGUGUCACAUGUAACAGCCCAAUUUUGGGGCUAGUUAGAAUAGUGGUCUCAGGACUAAAAAUUUGAAGUUGGAGAAAUUAUUUUAUUAUUAUUUUGGAGUCAUAGCAUGUUUAUAUUAGUACAUGAAAAAUUUGGUGAGUUAAUUUUGACGUUUGUGAGCCCAAUUGUAAAAAAAGACUAAAUCGUGUAAAGUGAAAAAAUCUUAAAUUGAUGGCUAAAGGUGUCAAAUAGCUAGACAAUAAAAAUUUAAGGCCUUUAAAGGGAAAUUACACCCUAUUAUGAUAGCAUAACUGGCCAAGAGUCAAAGGGGAGACAAAAUUUUCAAAAUUUGUUGGGUUUGGUGGCCAAUUUUGACUAAAAUAGAAAUAAAUACUAGAAGGACGAUAUCAUCCCUUUAUCAUCUUUUUUCUCCACUGAAAUUUUCCAUUUAAGGGGAUUUGAGAGCUUAAAAAUUUUCAGCAACUUGAAGCACUCACAAGUAAGUGAUUUCCAUGUCAUUUGUUGAUGAUUUUUGUAUUUUUGAGACCCUUAAAGCAUGAGCUUUUCAAAUGAGGGAUAUAUCUUGCAAAAUGGUUGAAGGUCUAGGGUCUUGUCAUAAGAGCAUUUAGGGUGUUUUCUGAAAUUUUAUGGAAGAAUAUGAGUCUUAGUUGUGUAAUAGACAACUUUUGUGAAAGGUGUUAGCAUGAAAACACCUAAUAGGACUAAUGUGCAUAAGUUGUAAAAUAUAUGUUACAUGUGUAAAAUAGUGAGAAUUUGGAGUUUUCAUAAGAGUAAAAAGAUUUCAACUGAGCUUAGGAUGCAAAGAAAUUCGAGAAAAAUUAAUUUUCGAGCAUAGGGGUAAAAUGGUCAUUUUGUCAAAGUCUAGGGGCAAAAUGGUCAUCUUACCCAAGAUGUGAAUUUUUAAUUUCUUAAUUUUAUUUAACGAUUAAAUAAGUGCGUUUUGCUAUUUUAGAUAAAAAAUUGCCAAAUCCAAACCUAGACCGGGGAAAAGCCAAGCAAAUCGACUAAACCAUAUAGUCGCUACAUUUUGAAAUCCGAGGUAAGUUGUCGGUAAAUAAUACAACUACAUUAUUAAUUAUAUGUGCUUGAGUUAUUGUAGCAUAAAUUGCUUGAUUGUGAAAUUGAGAAUGUAUAAUGAUAAAUGAGAUAGUAGAAUUUCCGUUGGAACUUUAGGAAGUAAAUCGGAUAUUCCUGCCAUGACAUUUGGGUCAUUCGUGUGUGAGCUAGUGUAAGACAUGUCUGGGACAUGCAUCAGCCACAUUAUGAGAGCCAGUGUAAGACCAUGUCUGGGACAUGGCAUCGGCAUGGAGAUGGGGGCUAGUGUAAGACAUGUCUGAGACAUGGCAUCGGCAUGGAGACGGGGGCUAGUGUAAGACAUGUCUGGGACAUGCAUCGGCCUCGAGAUGUAAGCCAGUGUAAGACAUGUCUGGGACAUGCAUCGACUACGAGAUGAUAGCCAUCGUAAGACCAUGUCUGGGACAUGGCAUUGACUUGAGAUAUGAGCCAGUGUAAGACCGUGUUUGGGACAUGGUAUCGGCACUUUACCCACGUUUGAGGCUUAAUAAAUAUCCGAUAAUGUUUCAAGUGGUUCAACGGUGAACAUUAUGUUUUUAAGCUAAUGAGGAAAGUAUAACCGUGAUAUAAAUGGUACAGGUAUCUAAUUGGUAUGUAUGAGAUAUUGAGCUCAUUUUAUAAUAUGUGACUCGUAUGGAUGGUAAUGAGUAAGUUAUGCUUAUGCCUACCUUGGUAUUAUGAGCAUGUGUAUUAUUGAUAGAUUAUUGUUGUUGUAUAUUUAUUUAUAUGCAACUUACUAAGAUUUUAUGAUUAUCCAUUUCCCUUCCAUUUCCUUUCAGUAUAGCCUAUCUAGCUCAAGGAUCACCAGAAGUUAGAGAUAUCGAUCACACUAUCAAUCGAAGCAUUCAGUAUAGUUUGAUUCAUAGUUUUGAACAUGGCAUGUAUAGAGAACUAGACUUGUGUUUUGUGUUGUUAUUAAUUUGGCCAAAUGUGUUGGCUUGGGAUAAGUUCCUUACGUUGUAUUAAGCUUUGAAUGAUGGCAAAUAUUCAUUUUGAUAUAGGCAAAUGUUGUUUGUUCAUAAAUGAGAAAAAUGCACAAUGAGAUGUUGUCUAUUGUGGCUGAUUUUAUUGUAUGUAAUAGUUUUGUACUGGUUUUGGUUGUUUUUGUGUAAGAAUGGAAAAGAGGCUUGGUAAAUAACUUGAUUUUGCCCAUACGGGUAGAUACACGAGCGUGUGUCUAGGCCGUGUGUGACACACGGUCAGCACCAUGGGCGUGUUGUCUAGCCGUGUGUCUCCUGCACGUAAAAAUUUCAAGUUAGUAUGCAUGGUAAUAAACACACGGGCAGAGACACGGGCGUGUGCCUCAGCCGUGUGAAGGACACGGCCCAGCACACGGGCAUGUGCCUUGGCCGUGUGACAUUUUGAGCAUGCUGACGUCAGAAACAAAAUGUCCAUGUUUUCGUACACGGGCUAGGACACGGGCGUAUCAUGGCCAUGUAAGGGACACGGGCCAUUGACACGGGCGUGUGUCUAGCAGUGUGUAAAUUAGAAAUUAAUUCUACACGGGUGUGGGACACGGGCGUGUCCCAGGGUGCUUAGGCCGUGUGAGCCACACCGGCCAUCAGUACGACCAUGUCGAAAUGGUCACAUAGGCAUGUUAUCCUUCCACACGGGCAUGUGUCCUAUUUUAAAGAAAAAUUUCUUAAGGUUGGCUUAAGGACCAAGAAUGGUUCCGAAUAGUUUUCAAUGAUCGAUUUGUGGCUCGUAGCUUAUAAUAAGAAGUUUAAAGUAGAAAUAGAAAAUUUUUUAAUUUGGGCCGAGUCUUAGUGACUUGAGAUUGGUUGUAAGUACAAGAUUGAGUUAGGUAAUGCCUUAUACUCCGCCUCGGCGUGGGGUACGGGUGUAGGGUGUUACAUCACAUGCCCGUGUGAAUUAUUUCAAGCCAUGUCUUUAUCGAUUUUUGGAAAAAUUAAGUCCCAAGAUCCACAUGGCCCAUGACACGCCCAUGUGUCCAGGCCGUGUGGGUCACAUAGUCAUGUCGCCAAGUCGUGCAACUUACUAUCGAACCCCUUUUUGUGCACACGGCCUGGGACACGCCCGUGUGUGUCAAAAAACCUUUUCUUUAUUUUGAAAAUUAAUUUAUUUUAAAAAUAUCAUGAGAUAAAAUUAAGAAAAUUAGUAGUGUUAACACCCGAGUUGCCUCCUAAAAAGCGCUUAUUUAAAGUCUAAGCUAGACUUACCUCAUAUUCGCAUGGUCACGGUGGUUCGCAGAGUCGAAACUCUUCUUUCUCACUAUCAAUUCUAUUAUCAAAAUAAGGUUUGAGUAGAGUACUAUUUACUUUAAAGGUGCCAAAUUCAAAAUGAUUUACCUUGACUGUACUGUAUGGGAAGACAUUUAGUACCGUAAAAGGAGUUGCUCCGUUUGCAUUAAGCUUUGGAGUGGCAAUACGUGGAUCUGUGUUAUCUAGUAGUACCUUGUCCCCAACCUUAAUUUUGUGUGUUCUUUCCACAUGUUUAUUAUGGUGUAGCUUUGGUUCUGCAUCGUGUAUUCUCGGUUUCUCCUUGACAUUUGUCCUCCAUUCGUCUAGUUCAUCAAUCUAUAGCAUUCGUUUUUCAUGAGUCGUUCUGGUUUUCCCCGCAUGGACUGGAACAUGGCUCCAUCACAUUCUUCUGAGGGGUUUCCUGAAAAACAUUUUGGGCCACAAUGCUAUUCAUAUUAACAGAACUCGUAUAAUCAUCUCAAUCACUAGAUAUCUUAGCAGAAUGACGAGCUUGGAGAGUAAUCGUGUCAUCACCUAUACGAAGUAUUAGUUCACCUAUACCAACAUCAAUAAUAGUUCAGGCAGUUCCUAAAAAGGGUCGUCCUAAAAUGAUAGGUACGUUACUAUCCUCAUCCAUGUCUAAAACAACAAAAUCAACAAGGAAUAUGAAUUUAUCAAUUUUCACAAGUACAUCUUCAAUAAUACCCCUAGGAAAUCUAAUGGUUCUAUCUGCUAAUUGAAUACUCAUCCUAGUUUGUUUGGGUUUCCCAAGACCUAAUUAUUUAAACAUUUUAUAGGGCAUGGCAUUAAUACUAACUUCUAAAUUAGCUAAAGUAUUAUUAACAUUUAAACUACCAAUUAAACAAGGAAUAGUAAAACCCCCUGGAUCUUUCAAUUUGUUGGGUAGUUUAUUUUGCAAAAUAGCUGAGCAAACUGCGUUUAGCUCCACGUGUGACGAAUCAUCUAACUUCAAUUUGUUUGUCAAAAGCUCCUUUAAAAAUUUUACGAAAUUGAGCAUCCACGAAAAAGUUUCAAUAAAUGGUAAGUUAAUAUGCAACUUUUUCAGAAGUUUAAGAAAUUUACCAAAUUGUUCGUUAGUGUGGUCUUUCUUCAUUGCAUUCGGAUAUGGAACUCGAGAUUUAUAUUCCUUACCAACCGAUUUUUGUUCAUUCUGGCUUACCUUUACCUUACCUUUACUUACAACACUUUCUUGCCUUAGUUCUGGUUCAGAUUCAACUAACCUUUCUUCAUCUCGCAUAGCAAUUGCAUGAAGUUGCUACAUUGGGUUAGUUUUGGUGUAACAACCCGAUUUUGGGCGUAAUCGAAACAAUGGUUUCGGGACCAAAAAUCUAAAGUUGGAGAAAUUAAUUUAUUAUUAAAUUGGUGUUAUAGCAUGAUUAUAUGAGUGCAUGAAAAAUUUGAUGAAUUAAUUGUAGCGUUUUGAGAGCUUAAUUUCGAAAAAGGACUAAAUCACAAAAAGGGAAAAAGUUUUAUUUUACUAGAUAGAUAUACCAAAUAGCUAGAGAACCAAAAUUGAGGGUCUUUAAAGUGAAAUUAGGUCUUUAAAUAAGUGAAUGGCCAGCCAUGAGACAAGGAAUUAAACUAGUCAAAUGGUAAGGUGAAUUUUGGUAACCAAAUUGAAUAGAAAUAAAAUAAAAUAAACAAAGAAUGAUAUCAUCUCUUUCUCAUCUUCUUCUUCACUGAAGUUUUCAGCAAAAGUAAGGGUUUUGAAGCUUUAAAAUUUCAGCCAAGCUAUCUUCUUGCAAGUAAGUGAUUUAGAUGCCUAUUUUUGCUAAUUUUUGUACUUUUAGAACCCUUGUAGCAUGAGCUAGCUAAUGGGGGACUAUUUUGUGAAAUGGUUGAUAGUAUAGGGAUUUGCCAUGAAAGGAUUUGUAAUGUUGUUGAGUUUUUAUGGAAGAAAAUAAAUCUUGGUUGUUGAAUAAACAACUUUUGUGAAGAGGUGCUCAUGAAAAACACCUAUAAGGACCAUUUUGUGAAACUUGUAAAAAUAGAGUGUAAGUGUGAUAAAUGUUUGAAAUUGUGAGUUGCUAUAAUUAUGAAUUAGUUUCGGCUAGGCUUGGUUAACAUGAAAAUUUGAUAAAAAUCAAUUUACGAGCCUAGGGGCAAAAUCGUAAUCUUUGUAAAGUCUAAGGGCAAAAUGGUUAUUUUGCCAAAGUAUGAAUUUUGGAGUGUGUUAAUUAUUAUGGUGAUUAAAUUAGUAAAUUUUGUCAUUUUGGAUAAGAAAGACGCAAUCUGGACCUAGACCGGGGAAAGACCAAGCUAGUUGAAUAACUCGAUCUAGUCACCUACUUUUGUAUAUUGAGGUAAGUUGUACGUAAAUAAUACAAAUUAAAUGUUAUCAUGUAUCAUACAAUUAGUUUGGCAUGAAUUGUUGAGUUGUGUUAGGAAUGUGAAUUAUGAGAAUUAAUGUAACAAAGACUUCCGGUUGAACAUUAGGAAUAGAUUUAGAUAUUCAUGUCAUGACAUUAGGUGAUAUGUACUAGUGUAAGACAUGUCUGGGACAUGUAUCAGCCACAUUCUGAGAGCCAAUGUAAGACAUGUCUGGGACAUACAUCAGCCUUGAGAUAUACAAGCCAAUGUAAGACAUGUCUGGGACAUACAUCGGCAUUGAGACGAGAGCUAGUGUAAGACAUGUCUGGGACAUGCAUCGGCCUCGAGAUAUACAAGCUAGUGUAAGACCAGUAUGGGACAUGGCAUCGGCACCGAUAGAUGAAAGCUAGUGUAAGACCUGUCUGGGACACGACAUCGGCCUCUAUAUAUGAAAGUCAGUGUAAGACCUGUCUGGGACAUGGCAUCGACUUUGAUAUGCUAGCCAGUGUAAGACCAUGUCUGGGACAUGGCGUCGGCAUCUUAUCCCAUGUUUGGGGCUAUUGAAUAUCCUGUAGUAUUCCAAAUGGUUCAACGGGAGAUUUAUGGUUUAUAUCGAUAUGAGAGAACUAAUGACUAUGUGGUGAGUGGUACAGGUACCUAAAUGAGAAUUACGAAAUACGAGCUUCAUUUACAUUGUAUGUUUAGUAAGGAAGGAAAAUGAGUAAGUUAUGCUUAUGACCAUUAGUGUAUUUUACAUAAAGUAUGAAUUGUGAAUUCAACCAACGUUGUAUGCUUGGUGAGAGAUGAAUUUGAACAAUUAAUAUUUAUGAAUCCUCACUUUCGUGCGCAAAUUGAGUUAUAUUGAGAGUAUGAUCACUUAUGGUAACUUGUAGUUAUUUCAUUAUUUACAUACGACUUACUAAGCUUUAUGCUUACCCCUUUUCCUUUCCAUUUUCUUUGUAGUGCCGCCCAAUUUUCCCGUGGAUCAGAUAUCGUCAGAGGCCUCGUUCACACUAUCAUUUGAAGCACUUGGUAUAGUUAGUUCUUUUAUUUUGAUUAUGGCAGGUAUAGGGCUUUGUCUUUUGGAUUUUGUGUCUUUGUUAUUUGGCCGAAUGUGUUGGCUUGGGACGAAACCCUUCAUUUUUUAUAAGGCCACAAAUAAUGGCUAAUAUUUAUCUAUGAUAUGCAAUUGAAGAUGUUUCAUAGAUGGGAAAAUUGCAUGAAGGAAUAAGUGCAUGCUUGGAUUGUUAUAGUUUGAUGAAGGUCGUUUUUUUUAAUUAUCAUGUUAUGGUCGAAUUGGUCUUAUGUUGAUGCAUGGAAUUGGUAAUAUUGAUGAGGUAUAAGUUAGUGCAAGUAAGGGUGGCAAAAAGGCUUGGUAGAUAGCCAUAUUUUUGUCCACACCGGUAGACACACGGGCGUGUGUCUAGGCCGUGUGCGACACGCUGCUAGCCCCAUAGGCGUGUUGUCGGACCGUAUGUCUCCUACACCUUGAAUUUGUAAGUCAAUAUGCAUGGUAGUAAAUACACAGGCAGAGACACGAUCGUGUGUCUCAGUCAUGUGGAGAACAUGGCCCCUGGCUACGGAAGUGUGCCUUAGCCGUGUGCCCCUAAUUUGUUGCUGACGUUAGAAAUAGAAUGUCAAGGUUUUUACACACGGGCUGCGACACAGGCAUGUCAUGGUCAUGUAAGGAACACGGGCUAUAGAGACGGGCGUGUGCACAGCCUUGUGAAAGCCCCUGUAGGUUCGAAUUUAGAAUUAAAUUCACACAAGUUUAGAGCAUGGGCGUGUUCCCUUGUGCUUAGGCCGUGUGAACCACACAGGCCUUGAACACGGUCAUGUCCAAAAUGACCACACAGACGUGUCACCUUUCCACACGAGCGUGUGCCCCUAUUUCAAGUGACAUUUUUUUUAAAGUUUUCAAAAAUGUUCGGAUUAAUCCCGGAUUGUUUCCAAAGAGGGAUUUGGGCCUUGUAGGCCCAUAGUAAGAAUUUCUAGAAUAAGAGUGAAAAGUUUUAAAUUUGAUCUAGUUUUUAUGACUCAGAAAUGAUUGUAUGCAUGUGUUUAAGUCAAGUAAUACCUCGUGCCCAGUCCCGGCCUCUAACUUGGGUAAGGGGUGUUACAUUCGGUAUUACUAGGCAAGCUACAUUGUGGUCAUUCUAAAAUCAAUUUCGCAAGUUGACUGAUUUGGUUCUUGAGCCCUUAAAUUGACGCUUGUUGAUUUUUAAGUGUUGUUUCGGUGUUUUGGAAGCAGGUUUUUGACACCGCAAUAAACUUCAUCAACAUCUCCUCAAGGUUUGGCUUUUUCUCUUGUUGGUAAGGUGGUUGAAAGCCUGGAGGGGGUUGUGGUCUUUAGUUUCCUUGAUCACCCUAAGAGAAAUUGGGAUGGUUUCUCCAACCUGCAUUAUAAGUGCUACUGUAAGGAUUAUUCUGAAGUCUAGAAUUAUUACCCAUAUAGUUGAUUUGUUCGUUCUCUGUGAUAGGAUCGUAGGGUAAAUAUUCUGGACUGCUCAUUCCUCCUCCAUUUGCAUUGCAUUGCAUCACCGGAUGUACAUGCAUAGAAACACAUAAACCAUCAAUUUUCUUAUUUAAUUGUUCUACCUGAUUUGAUAACAUGGUGAUUGUAUCUAGAUUGAAAACACCGGCUGCUCUAUUAGGUUUCGUCCUCAUGACUUGCCAUUGAUAAUUAUUCAGUGACAUCUCUUUUAUAAACUCGUAAGCUACUUCAAGUGUCUUAUUGUUCAACGUACCGCCGGCUACUGCAUCGAUUAGCUGCCUAGUUGAGGGAUUCAAACCGUUGUAGAAGGUUUGAACCUGUAGCCAUAGAGGUAACCCAUGGUGAGGGCAUCUUCUUAAUAAAUCCUUAUACCUCUCCCAUACAUCAUAUAGAGUCUCUAAGUCAAUCUACACGAAGGAAGAGAUAUCAUUCCUUAGCUUAACUGUCUUAGCAGAUGAAAAGUACUUCAGUAAGAAUUUUUCGGUCAUUUGGUCCCAUGUUGUAAUACCCCGAAAAUUUUUACAGUAAAAUAUUAUUCGUUAUAUAGUAAAAUAAGAAAAUCAAGUGACAAAAAGGGAAAUUUUGAGUUAUGUCAAUAUUAGGAAGUAUAUUAUGAUAUAUUAAUUCAAGAAAGGACUAAAUUGCAAAGAUGAGAAAAGUCUUGUUACACAAGAGUAAAUACUCAAAAUUUAAGGGGUUGAAGUGUAAAUAUAAAAAAUUUGAAGGACUAAUGGUGCAAAUAUUUUAAGGGUGCAAUGAUCUAGAAACCAAGAAAAAUUGAUGAAUUAGGACCAAAUUGAAUAGGUGAAAAUUUAUGAGGGACUAAAUCGUAAUUUUACCAAAUUAAGUGAUGACUCAAUGAUAGAAUUCUAAAAGAUCAUGAAGGGCAAAAUGGUCAAUUAGUCAGAGAGAGAAUUCUAGAAUGUAAUGAUUAUGUUGAUGAUAUUUUAAAUUAAUUAAUUAGAUAAAUAUUAUUUUAUUAAUAUUUUUAUGAGAUAUUUAUUAUUAUAUUAUUAUUUAUUUAGUAUAAAAGGAAGGAAAGAUGAAGAAUUAUCAUUACCUUUCCUUUCCCAUGCAAACCCACGUAAGAGAAAAAGAAGAAAAGAAGUUUUCUUUCUUUACAAUUUAGUCCUUCUACAAAAAAUUCAUUAUUUUCACCUAAAAAUUGAAAGAAUUUCCAUAGCUAUCAAGAGAGAAAGAUAGCAAGGAAAUGAUGGGGAGCAAGAAUAUCAAGUUGGAUUCAAGAAAUAGAAGCUGGAGGAGAGAGAAAAAUCAAGUUAAAGAUUGAAGUCAAUAAGAAAAGGUAAGAACAUCAAGAUUUCAAUAUAAUUUUAAGUUUAAUAUUGUUGAAAAAGCAUGGAAUUGAUGUUGAUUUAGAGUUUUCUUAUAUAUAGUCUUAUGCUCUUGUCAUGUUAGUGAAGAGAAAAUAAGAGAAAGUGAUGAGAAAUAGUGUAGAAAAAGAAAAUAAGGGUGUUAUAAACAUGAUAAUUAAUAUCUUGCACUAAAACAGUUUUGGACAGCAGCAGUAGUCUAACUUUGAAAAAUCACCAAAAAUUGUAAAAAUCGAAUUAUAGGAUGAAUAAAAUAUGAAAUUAAAUAUUAUUGAGUCUAGUUUCUAAUAAAAUAAAUUAUUUAAGCAAUGGUAUUGUAAAUAAUGAGAUAUAAGAAAUUUUGUGAGACAAUGUCAGAAUGAUUUCGGGUUCCCCUGUUCUGACUUUGGCAAAUCAUCAAAAAUUGGAUAAAAAGAAUUAUGGGCUUAAAUUUAUAUUUUCAAGAGAAAUAAACAGAAAUAUCAUUAGAAAUUUGUACGAGGAGAUAAUUAAUUUUUAGUGAAGAAGGGUCAGAACUUUCAGACAGCAGAAUAGGGUUAAAUUUAAAGAAUAAAUUGUACUUAUUGGCUAAACCAAAAAUUCUAAAAAUUUUAUGGUAAGAAUAUAUAUGAGUCUAGUUUCAGGGAAAAUUAUUGGAUAUUAAUUUGAAGUUCUAUAGCACCAGAUAUAAAUAAUUUAGUGACUAUGACACAUAUGGACAACUUGAAUAUUCAUAAAAGUAAAUAAUAAAGAUUAUAGAUAAUGUUACUUACAAGUGUGUUAUAUACAUUAAGGAUGUGGAAUGGAGAGGAGGAGGAGGAAAAUAUAUAUGAAUAUUCAGCUAGCAUGGCUAAUUUGUAUGUUUUAGGCUUAAGGACUAAAUUAAAUAAAAGAAAAACUUCAAGGGGCAAUUUUAUAAAAAUUUCAAAAUGACCAAAUUGAAGGGAAUGAAUUGUUUUAUUAUCUAAAUUAAUAAAUUGAAUGAAAUUGUCAAUUUAAGGUCGGGUGAAAAUUGGGAAAAUGGUAAAUUACCAAAAUGUCAUUGAAUCUUGAUAUAUCUGCAAUUUCACUAGGUAAGUUCGUAUAACUUGAAUUAUAUUCUUAAAUGCUUGAAAUGUAUGUUUUUGAUAUGAAUAUGAUUUGAAUGUUUAUUGUAUGAAAAUUGAUGAAACAUUAACAUAUUUAAUAAAAAAGGGAAGAAAUCCCGAUUGAAUGAAAGGAAAAUUCGAUGGAUCUCUGAAAAGGAAUUGACGGUAAAAAGGAUCUAGCCCGGACGGGUGAUCCUAUCCUGAUAUAUCCCUCCCGAAGAAUACGUGUAAAUGGAUUUAGCCCGGACGAGUAAUCGGAAUUAGGGUCUGAAUUUAGCCUGGACUGGUAAUUCAGAUCUAAGCUCAUUAGAAUAAUUAUUGUUGCAAGGGAUUUAGCCUGGACUGGUAAUCCCAACAAUACUCUAUGAGUUUAUAUUAUAGGGGAUUUAGCCUGGACUGGUAAUCUCACUGUAAGGAUGAGGUUCGCGGGAGUGUGCUCUCUGAUAUGAAAUGUGUAAGACCAUGGUUGAAAGAUACCAUGGCAACCUGAUAUGAAAUGUGUAAGACCAUGGUUGAAAGAUACCAUGGCAACCUGAUAUGAAAUGUAUAAGACCAUGGUUGAAAGAUACCAUGGCAACCUGAUAUGAAAUGUGUAAGACCAUGGUUGAAAGAUACCAUGGCAACGUGAUAUGAAAUGAAUAAGACCAUGGUUGAAAGAUACCAUGGCAGCGUGACAUGAAAUGAAUAAGACCAUGGUCGAAAGAUACCAUGGCAACAUGACAGAAAAUAAGUAAGGCCAUAGUUGAAAGACACUAUGGCAUCAUGUCAAAGAUAAAUAAGACCGUGGAUGGGAGACGCGAUGACAUCUAUUGAACAAUUGAUAUUCAGGUAAUAUGUAUCAGAUGACGAAUGGUUAUAUGAAAUGGUUGUGUGAAAUGUUUACAAGAAAUAAACGAAAUAAGAAUAAGUACAUGGAAUAUAAAUUAUGUUAAAUUUGAUAUAAACUUUACCGGAAUAAAUAUACAUAAAAUAUAUGGAAAUGAUGGAGCAUGAAAUAUUGAUAUAAUGAAAUGAUUGAUAUAUACUUAUGAAUAAACGGUAAGAGAAUGAUAUGUUUCAUGACAUGUACAUAUAUGAUUAUCUUUGAUAUGUUGAUACAAGGAAAUUAUGUAAGUAAAGACAAUUAUUGAACUCAAGUGUGACAUGUCGAGAAAAUAAGUAUAUCAAUAUUGAAUUUAUAUGAAAUAUGUGCAAGUAUACUAACAAUGAUGUUGUUUGACGCUUAGACAAGUGUCAAGCUAUUGAUUGAAUGGUAACAUGUUUAAUUAUAAGAAGCAUUAAAAUGGUAAGUACUUAGAUGAAAAUAAAAUUUAAGAUUUUGCGAAAUUUUUUAUGAUCCCGAUUUAAUUCCGGUUGGUUUUUAAUGUAUGUUUGGGGCUUCGAGGGCCCAAUAGAGAGACGUUAUGAUUAUCUUCAAAAUUUGAAUAAUAAAUAACUCAGAAUUAUCUAAAAAUGUUCAGUAAACUCCAGUAAUGCCUCGUACCUAUUCCGACAAUGGAUACGGGUGGGGGUGUUACACAUGUAGUGAUCGAACCUCGUGGUAGAGAAUUCAACCACUGUUUAGCUUUAUUCCUCAAUGAGAAGGGAAACAACCGUAGGCGAUUGGCAUUGUAAAAAAUGUCAUUUAUCUUGAAAGUGUCACAGACUUCCAGAAAAUUAGCCAAAUGAGUGUUUGGAUCUUGUCUUGCAAACCAUCGAACUGAACAAGCUAUUGAAUAUCCGAAUGGUGUUCGGCUUCAGUUUGAAAUUAUUCGCAGUAAUGGUGGGUCUCGAAAUACUCGAUUCACCCCUAGUUAGAGUGAGCUUGGCAUAAUCAUACAUAGUACGAGGAGCAUGAUUCGGAUUUGCAGGAUCCGCAGCAACCACAGGAGGUAACUGAUUAUUCUAAUUAUCAACCAUCUCCUCAGUAACAAUAAUAACAUCCUCUUGCUCUUCCACUACUCUACCUUGCUUCUCUACGGUUUCUGCAAGCUGUACUUUCAAUCUCACUAUCAAAUACUAAUGGUCCCGACGGGUUUCUUCUAAUCACAAACUAAAUAAACCUGCCAGAAGAAAAUAAAAGAAAAAUUAGAAAACAAAUAUUAAACUAAAAAUAAAAAUAAAUGGCUAAAUUAAUAAAAAUCAAGUGUUCCUAAUAUUUUAGUCCCUGGCAACGGCGCCAAAAACUUAAUGAUCACUAAACUAACUAUAAUUAUGACAAAGGCAAGUGCACCUAUUGAGCAAUAGAAUAGCUAUGGUGAGUAAGGAAUAUUGUAUCAACGAGGACUAAAAGUAAUAGUAGUUACUGUUUUUCUAUUAUUUAGCCGAUAAAUUGAAGUGAUUGUUUUUAAUCUAAUUUAACUACGAAUGCAACAGAGAAUGAAUUGGGAAAAAUAACUAAAGACAACCAAUGAGAAAGACAAUACCCAGGAGAGAAUCCACCUAGGCUUCACCUAUUAUUUUGAAUCUAAAUUAAACGAUUUAUUCACUUGUGUCUUGAUCCGUAGAAAUCCCUAAAUUAUGUUAACAUCUCUUUCGAGAGUAAGAACAACUGACUCUAGGUUGAUUAAUUGAAAUCUCUUUCUAAUUAAAACCCCUAUUGUCGCAUUAACUUGAUCUAUGGAUUCCCCUAUUAGAUUUGACUCUAAUUUGGUAGAUUUAUGUCAUCUUAUUUCUAGAAUUACAUGUAACUCCACUCAAUUAUGCUAGAUCUACUCUUAAAUAGGGACUUUUGCUCCGCUGAAAUAAGAACAUGAAACAUGAAUUAAUAUCCCUAAAAUAUUAAAACAUGAAAUAAGUAUACAUAAUUGAGAACAAGAAUCAAGUAUUUAUCAUGUAAUUCAGAAAUCAAAUAAUAAGAUUCAUCAUAGGUUUCAUCUUCCCUAGGUAUCUAAGGAAUUUAGUUCAUAAUCUAAAAAGAAAACAUCUCAAAGUCAGAAAAACUACAAGACAUAAAGAAAUUCAAAUAAACUUCGAAAGAAGUUAAAAGGAAAUCUUCAAUCUUGAAGGAGAUCCGCUUCUGAGUUGGCUUCGAUGGUGUUCUUCAAGUAAUUUCUUCAAUCUUCUCUACGUGCUCCCUUAGGUCUUCUUCUAAUUGUUAUUCAUAGACUUUAGAAUGCUCAAAAAGGUUAAAAAUUGCGUUUUUUUCCGCUGUUAGGGAAGAAUGUUGCGAAAUCGACACGGGCUGGCACAUGGGCAUGUGGCUAGCCAGUGUGGAUGCUAAAAAUAGCUCUUUUUGCUCGAUUUUGGCUUGUUUUUCACUCCUUUCGCUCUCCUAUGCUCACCGAAGUAUAGAAACAUGAAUUUAAAGGAUUGGGAGCAUCAAAUUCACUAAUUUACAUAAAAAAUCAUCCAAAAAUACAUCAAGAAUGGGAUUAAAAAUAUGUUACUUUUAUGGUUUAUCAAUAACUAUUAGAAUUUAAUGUACAUCAAAACUUUAUCUUGAUCAUGAUGGGCAUCCACUUAAUAAGAUAUUCAUAACAGUUUCAAAGUUUUAACUUGUGUUUUCAACUACUACUACUUCAAUUGAGAGUUCUAACUUUCAAAAAAAUAAAAAUAAAUUGCUUGUAGGCAGCCCAAUACUAAUGGUAAGUUUAACAUGAAGGUAAACAUGCCAAUUUUGACUUUGAUCCUAUCUGAUUUCACCAUAAAAGCUUAAUAAUUUUAACUUCUUCAACUUAAAUUUCAAUUGAUUUGAAUUCAAAACAAUCUAAAUUUGAAAUGAUUUAAUUCUAAAUAUCCUAAAUUUAAAAUGAUUAGAGCUAGAAAUAAAUAGAACAAGUAACUUAGAAUAACUCAAAACAAUUUAGACUUUUAAUGACUUAACUAAAAAAUUGAGCCCCUUACUGAAAUGACUUAAUGCAAACUAAACUUGAAAUUGACCCAAACCCAAAGUAACUUGAAAAUUUUAAAAUCUUAAUUAACUUGAUUUAAAUUAAACUAAUUCAAAACCAAAUAAAUAUGCACAACUAAAAGGUCAUCUAUAUUAAUGUCCAACAAGUUAAUUCAUGUAAUCACCUUUCAAAAUAUUUUACAUAGUUAAGUAAACAACCUAUGUCGGACUACAUAACAGGCAAUUGACUGAAACAUUGGUAACCUGGAGGAUCAAUUUGAUCAGCUAACUUAAGAGGUGAUUAAUUUAAUUAAGAGGCUAACUUAUUACAUGAGGUAGCUUCCAUGCCAACCACAACUGCAUUUCACUAGUUUUAAACUCCAAUAUCCAUUAGAAGAUGACCUACCAAAUACCUUUAAUAUUGACCAAGCUUUCUCCUUUUCAACCAUAUACGAUCAAAUGUCACCAACUCCAGUGGCCUAUUCCCACUGCUUCAAGACCCUAUAUAAACCCCUUACACCAUGCUCUCUUCCUCACUCAAAAGUAGCUAUUAAGAUAAAAAGACUUUGUUUAAUCUACUUAACAGAAAUGGCAUCUUUCAAUUGCUUUGCUUUGGCAUUCUUCGUGGCUUUGUCGUUUUCAAGCAUUGACGUUGGCCUAGCAGCUCGUCAGCUUCAGCAACUGCCUCCGAUGCCAACAUUGCCUACAACCACACUCCCACCACUCCCAUCUAUCCCUAAUCUCCCACAGCCAUCCAUACCACCUUUCCCAAGGCUUGGGGCGCUUCCUCCACUUCCUACCAUGCCUGCUUUGCCUACAUUGCCUCCUCUACCAAGCAUGCCUUCGAUUCCCACGAUCCCAACUACAAUUCGCUCUAUUCCAUUCUUCUCUCCACCACCUUCUCCUUCUAGUCCUUAAAAAUCCCUUUCGAUAGGUGAUGGGUGGCUAUUCCAAUCCAAAGUCUUAUUUUUUUGUCCACCACUUAUAUUGCUUUGUAUAAAUGGGAGUUUCCCCAAUUCCCAUGAUUUGCUGUACUUUGAUACUUAUUUUGCUUAUUAUUGGAUUAUAU
rnacentral:lncRNA from 1 species